UCCUUAACCCCCUGCACUGGGAAAAUGGGCCUUGGACUGUAAACCAAGAGAGAGUCCAGAACCCAAAGUCUUAAUGAGUACAAUACUGGAGUCUUCCAUGAACAUGGCAGAAACCACAGGGACAUAGGAGAAACGGCACCAAAAGAGAGAGAACAGUGCCAGGCAGGAUGUGAUGCCAGUUACGUGAGGUCAUGCCAGGUAUGUCAGGAUGCUCUAUGUUAUUACGUUGGACAUAAAAGAACACUUCUUAUUCCAUCUGAUGUAUCACAUAUUAAAUAUAGUCCGUUAAGUGACUUUUAUCAUUUGGAAAGACCACAUUUGCAUGCCUCUAAAAUAAAUGAUGUUUUUGAAAAAACACAUGUAACCAGUCCUCCUGUCUGCAUCUGGCCUGCCUCCUUGGCUAAGGCUUCAACAUGAAACACAGCAGAUGUGAGAUCUGACUCCUGUUCAAAAGUGAGUUCAAAAGUGAGAUUAGAAAGCAGAUUUUUCUUAAAAUGCAGCUGAUUCCCCUUUGCAGAUUUUAUUAUUUAAAGGAUAGAAAAGAAGUCUUUAUUUCUUUGAAAAGUAACACCAAAGCUUCACCCAUCAAGAUGGAAUAACUUAUUACCCAGUGAGCGUGUCUUUCUCAAAGGAAUUUCAUUUUGGGGAAAAGAACCUUUAUCACUUUGAGGUGUAUUCAAGCACAUAGAUGAUUCUAGUAUUGGAUGCUAGGAAGGCUCAGACAUGCUUGCCUCCUCCUUAUAAUCUGUGUUUCGGCUCUCCAUAUUCUUAAUUUAUGGGCUUUAUCUUCGUGGUGAGAGAUUUGGCCUUCGUAAACCUGAAAAUUCCCUGACACAGACCAAACGCUGAAGGACAGAGAAGGACAUGGCAUUACUGUCUUUAAUGGGACACAGCCCCUGAAAAGGAAAAGCAUAAGGACCACAGGCGAACGGGGCCACCAGCUGUUCACGCGCAUUGAGGUUCUGGGGAAAGGUGGCUUUGGACCCUGCCGAGCAGGAUGGAUGGGGCGCUGGUGCGGGAGGCUGCGCCCUAUAAUCCCCUGAGGUGCAGCUUCCGUGAGACGUGUCUUUGCCAUUUCUGGAGUUCCGAGGAGUCACCUUAGAUGGGCAGAUGGGGCUGGCAGUGUCUACAACCACAGGUUGGGGCCAAAGGGAAAUCUGGGUGCUAACCCACAGGAAUAUUUCACAGGCUGCAAGUGCCUGAGGUCCGUCUUGCCAAGUAUGGAAAGAGAAUCUAGUGAGUUGACUAAAUAUUAAAGAAGAGGGAAAAAUGAAAGGAAAACCGUAGGAAAUAGCUGCCUAAUUGUCAGAUGAGGGGGUCUGGGUUGCAGUGAGGCGCCCACAGGAAAUGUGGACUGGACUGGAGGGGCCAAGACCCUCUGUGCGACUUAACCCACUGGGUCUGGAUUUCUUCAACUGUAAAUAAAACGAGCGCAUUAUUAAGUUCCCUUCAUUUGCAAAAUUAACUUUUGCUUUUUAAAAUUUUUUAUUAAAGCAUAGUUGAUUUACAAUGUUGUGUCCAUUUCUGCUGUACAGCAAAGUGACCCCGUCAUACAUACAUAUGUGUAUUUAUCUAUAUAUUAUAUACAUAUAUAUAUAUACACACACAUUCCUUCUUUUUCUCAUAUUAUCUUCCAUCAUGUUCUCUCAAAAGAGAUUGGAGGUAGUUCCCUGGGCAAUACGGUAGGUACAACUUUUACUUGAAUCAUAAAAAUUAAAGAGAAGUAAUAAUUAUGUAGUUAAUUUGGGAGAAAGUCUACAUUCGUUCCUCAAAUCCUUUCACAAUGAAUAUUCCCUUUCAAACCCUUUUCAAACUAUUGUGUUUUGAAAUAUGUUUGCCAAAUAAACAAUAUUUCAGUAAUUUUCUCUAGCUAUCUUUCUCUCUUCUCCUUCCUUCUCUCCUUUCCUUCAUUUUCUAACUCAAAUACACCUAUUACCGUUAAUGAGGAGUCAGGUCAGCUUAAGUUAACUGGUAUUAUCCGAUGGAGUUGAUAUAAUUUCUGCCCAAAGCAAUUUGACAUUUCAGUUAAACUGUGCAGGCUUCUCAAAGGAAAAUGUUCACUUCCCUUUAAACCUUUUUGCAGUAUUAAAGGUAGCACCUGGCCACCCAUCUUGUGGAUGCUAGAACUGGCGAUAUUCCUGUGCACCUGCUCCUGAGUUUGAGGGUGCGAUGUUGCCGGUGGGUCUGUGCUGUACUGACCAGGUCCAAUUGGGUGCAGCCCUGCUACUCCCCCAGCCCCAGGCCCCUGUCUACACAGCUCAUCACCACUAUCUGCCCUACCUCAGUGUCCCUUGGGCUGCAGGCUUACUUGUGGCUUCUCUGCCUUGGUUUAUUCUGGGAAGUCUCUGAUCACCUGGUCCAGACAGAGAAGUACCUUGGACAGCAACCGUUCCUGCAGGUGGCCUGUGUCAGUCCCAGGUUCUGAAGUGGCGGCUCUGAAUGAGCCAUGCAUAACAUCUAUGAGCACACUUGAGAAACUGGCUGUGGUAGUUGAGUCAAUGUCACGCUUUACAAUGACUGAUGGUAGGUAGCUUCGGUGUAAGACCUGUGGAAUAGUCAGAGGGCCCUAGUUUUCUAGCCAACUAAAUGCAGAGGGUCACCUCAAGACCUUAGGCUUGCUGAUCAUUAACGAAGAAUUUAUCCGUCAGUGCAAUGACCUUCGGAGAAACAGUGACAAGGAAAGCCUAUCAAGAAACAGAGGACAGGCUUGUACGAUGAAGAAUCAGACAAGGUAGACUGCAAUCUGAUCUCCAGGGGAAAAGCAGAGUUUACACUUGCAAAAAAUUGACUCACUAUCUCAACUGAAUUGCUAGUUCAAAGGCUCUAAAAUACAGAUAAGCCUGGUUUAGAAAUAAUUGGGUAAAUGUACAAAUAAUUGAUGACUAUCCAAUAGGGUGGUCUGGAAUUUACCCAAAGACAUGUGCUAGUGUGUCCGCAGUCAUGUAUUUUCAUUCUCAGUUUAGCCUCUUCUCCAGGGUGCAUCUUGAUCUCAAAUGUCUGACAUUAUCUGUGGAGACCCAUCUGUCUAAUCCAAGAAGCUUCAAAGCAUCUGUCAAAUCAUUAGACAAUUUCUUCAACAGUCUGUGUUCAUGUAAGGGUAACUCAAUGGAUUUAUUCUGCGGUCAUGACAUCUGAUUGUUUCUCUAAGGAUCUGAUGAAAAAUCCUGAAAAAUGAAGUCUGGGAAUAGCAACAAUCUCCAAAGGCAACGGGAUGUUUGAAACAAACAGUCUCAGUGAUGGACUAGGCAAACCCAAAGGACAAAAGACGUGACUCCAGGCUGAAUGGAAGGUGGAGUCCCAGCUGGGGGAGGCAUCAGAAGAUGAAAGCAUCUCAUGGUCAAAAUCCACUGGGAGCCGUGUUCGUGUGCUCAGCAGAUCCCCCGGGGGGCUCCUGCCUCUCUCUCACCUUGGGGGCAGCACUGUCCCCACAAGCCUGGGAGGAUGGACAGAUUGCUCUGGAUCAGCGCCGAGCCUGCCCGGGGCCUGAGCAGUGGGACCCACCACAGAGGGAAAAACGCUCUGUGCUGUUGAGUGAGCAGGUGGAUUUGCCUAAUUGCAACAGGAUGUUCACCAUCCCAAGUUAGCAAGAACUAUCUCCCAGAUAAGUAAGAACCAUCUUCCAGAUAGUUCCCUUGUCUCACCUUCUCUAUAUACUGAAUUUGGCAUCUUUAAAACAGUAGGUUAGCAAUCUCCUUGUGUGACCUUGAACGACCCCCAAGGCCCUCACAAGCUCAACUUGGAGGCAAGAAGUGAGUACCUGCCUCCAAAAACGCUCACAGGUUCAAGGAAAUUUCUCCAAGCUCCCAGGGCCCAUGUUUAUCAAUCUGUGCCCCCCACCCUCACCCCUUCAGGAAAGGUGGUCUUAAUUCUGUGAGGCACCCUCACAGCUUGGCCCAUUUAGUUCUCACACCAGCCCUGAGAGACGAGAUGUUGCAUCAUUGAUGCUUUGUACAGAGGAAGAGGCAGAGGUCACAGCGAAGGGAGGCAGAUGGAGGUCCUGUGGCCUUGGACAACGAAGCCCACCUUCCCAAGGUCACACAACUUGUGAGGAAGAGUGGGGAGUUGAAAUCCAUCCUGAUUCGGAGGCUUUCCUGCCUCCUCCUGCAAAGUGUUUUGUUUAAGACUCCAAGAUGCAUGUAGAACCUGUAACACUUCAAUGAGCACUAGCCCCUCACUGCUUUCAUCAUAAAAACAGUCGUGUUUUUUGUUUGUUUUGUUUUGUUUUUGGUCACACCUGUGGCACGAGGACAUUCUCAAGCCAGGGACAGAACCUGAGCCACAGCAGUGACAGCAUCAGAUUCUUAACUUCUAGGUCACCAGGGGACUGCCCUUAAAACAGUUUUUAGGGAGUUCCCAUUGUGGCUCAGCGGUAAUGAACCCCACUAGUAUCCGUGAGGAUGUGGGUUUGAUCCCUGGCCUCACUCAGUGGGUUGGGGAUCUGGCAUUGCCAUGAGCUGCGGUGUAGGUUGCAGACACGGCUCGUAUCCCGAGUUGCUGUGGCUGUGGUGUAUGCUGACUUCUUGAGGCUCUGAUUUGACCCCCAGCCUGGUAACCUCCAUAUGCCAAAAGUGCAGACCUAAAAAGAAAAAACAACAACAGCAACAACAAAACAAAACAUGGGUACUUGACUCGCAGAUGCGGCUUGGCUGUUGGAGAGACAGGGGCUCUGGCUCUCGGCCCCUCCUUACCCUGCUGCCUUGUUUUCCAUCUCAUCCCGUAAAAGUGGCUCCCCUCUACUCUGGCACAUAAGCCCCAGCAGCACUUGAGCCCCUCGAGGCCAGGUGCUGGGCCUCCCUCAGCCCAAGCCCUGGACAUCACAAGGCGCACAGUCAGCAUUUGCUGAGUGAAGCCAGGACUCUGGGCUGGAGCUCGGUGGAGCCGUGGCACUGCGGGGAGGACGGGUUGACACACGGUGACUAUUCUGGCUCUUCGCUGUUUUGUCCUCAAGGUCAAUGGUGCUGAUGCUCAAAUCGCUGACGCGCCUACCUUAGUGAGUGUAACCCACAAUGUCAUUCGGAACAGUAGACAAUUCUGGCAGCAAUUCUAACAAAAUGAAGCCUUGAGGAGUCUGGGCCAUCCUGCUGCAGAGGUGCCGGCAGGAGACGCCUCUCAGGCUUCCAAGCAGGCACAUUCGCAUCGCUCUGUCUCUGCUCUCAACAGGCCCUUGCCAAACUGUGUUCUAUGGAGCCCUCUGGUUUGCUCCUGACCGUGGAGGCUCUGAGAGGGGACAGGGAGGGUCCGGGGGGGCCUGCUCUCCCUCCCCCCGCCCUCGACCACUCUGGUUGAGAUGGUUUCUCAGGGUUCACAGGAAAGCAGAGUUAUAUGCUGUUUUUUGUUUGUAUGGAUGUUGGUGUUUUUCUGAAAACUACUUUAGCACCACUCAACGACUUGGCUAAUUUCAUUUUGUUAAUUAUUGUCUCUGUCUUUGUUUCUUUUUUAAACAAACUGGGUGUAAUAAGCCUCAAAUUGUGAUACCCAGAAAAAUUAUUUUGUAUCUAAAACUUUCAGACCUUCAUGCUAAAUUUUCCAAAUGACUACACCUGGGACAAGGACAUGAAUGACAGGUUAAAAACGCUGGAUGGACUCACCAUGUGAAAUAUCACAAAAAUGGAGGGAAAAAAAAGUGAGAGGCAAUAUUAGACAUAGGCCAGAGAAGCAGCAGGGCCUGUUUCUAUGAUAAAAGCCAAUUCUUACUAAGUUCCCACUGCCAGCUUUGCACGCCUUUUCCCUAGUUCUCAUUAUUCGCUGGGGAACAUGUAAGUGAAUCAGGAAUCGUAUUAAAGCUCCCAGCGUUAGGGAUGGUGACCGAGAUUCAUGAGGCCAAGGCCACAAAGCCCCAGGCUCCCCCGACAGCGUUUAGUCCUGGUCUUUCCGUCUCCGAAGUCCACGGUCUUUCCAUCACCACCCUCAUGCCAUCCCAAGCAUCGAGGAUGACAUGUGCGCAGGUGUGCUUCACAGGGUUUUGUCAAGGGACUAAACGAAAUACGAGUCUACAAAGGUACGCUCCCCGGGCAGCUCACACUCAGGUUUUAACAAAUCCAAGGCAAUGGCAUUUGAAAGCACUUGGUUAAUUGCCAUGAUAGUGAUAACGGCACGAGCAGCCCAGUUUCUGAGAGCUGACCUUACUCCAGACACGGCUCUAAGCACGGGGUUCUGCCUCAGUGACCCCGUGAGUAGACAUUAGUUUUGAACCCACUAGAAAGGUGAGGAAAAUGAGGCAUGUGCCUAAUUUCAUGCAGCUGUGGAACGGUGGUUGCAUGGCAUUGGAACAUAGGAGGGUUAGGACACAGUCAGAAUCCCACGGCUCCGAGUUUGAAGGCAGAGCU
rnacentral:lncRNA from 1 species